rnacentral:rRNA from 1 species
UACAGAGGUGCGAGCGUUGUUCGGAAUUAUUGGGCGUAAAGGGCGCGUAGGCGGUGCGGUAAGUCACCUGUGAAAUCUCCUGGCUCAACUGGGAGCUUGCAGGCGAAACUGCCGUGCUGGAGUGUGGGAGAGGCGCGUGGAAUUCCCGGUGUAGCGGUGAAAUGCGUAGAUAUCAGGAGGAACACCGGUGGCGAAGGCGGGUCUCUGGGCAACAACUGACGCUGAGGAGCGAAAGCGUGGGGAGCGAACAGG